UUGCAGAACCUGGUAUGGCCUCAUGUGCAAAGUCCCAGUUUAUGAGAGAAGGAGGAAAGGCCUUGCACCAGCGAGUGACCAAGCUCAAAGCACUUGAGAAGAGGAUCUAUCCCUUUCUUACCCUAGCAAGGAGACAAUCAAUAAUAGAAGUGAAAAAUGAGGAGUGACCAUUUUUCUUUUGCUGGGGAAAGAGAGAUGCUCCUAUCCAAUCCAAAGACAAAUAAGAUGGAUUUAUGGAUCAUUUGUUUUUGAAAUUAAAAGCUCUGCUUGUGCUGCUGAAACCAUGGUUUCAUGGCAUAACAACAUGGUUGGACAAUAGUUUCUUCCUCCUACCAAUGGAAACAGUGGUGAGUAGAGCAUUAAUAUGCAUGUGGGAAGUACAACAUGACAGCUAUGACAAAUACAUGGUUGCAUUUGCCUGUUGGAUCAACCUCAGUUACUGUUAACUCCCAGGUUAUCGAAGUAAAGGAACAAGGUGGA